rnacentral:lncRNA from 1 species
UUUAGGGUCUUUUAGGGUCUUUUUAGGGGUCUUUUAGGGUCUUUUUGGUGUCUUUUGGGGUUUUUCAUCUCUUUUUGGGUCUUUUUGGGGUCUUUUGGUGUCUUUUAGGGUCUUUUUGGUGUAUUUUAGGGUCUUUUUGGGUCUUUUUGGGGUCUUUUUGGGUCUUUUUGGUGUAUUUUUGGGUCUUUUAGGGUCUUUUUGGGGUCUUUUUGGUCUCUUUUGGGGUCUUUUGGUGUAUUUUCGGGUCUUUUUGGUGUAUUUUUGGGUCAUUGUGGGUCAUUUUGUGUCUCUUUGUGUCCGUACUGACGCUGUCCCCGCAGACACCUGGACUUUGACCUGGACAAAACCCUUUUCUUCUUCAUCGCGGGUCGUUACGAAUUCUCCAACAAAGGGGCCGACAUCUUCCUGGAGGCGCUGGCGCGGCUCAACUACCUGCUCAGGGUAAUAGGGUUGUAGGGUUAUGGGGUUGUAGGGUUAUGGGGGGUUAUGGGGUAUAUGGGGCUGGAGGGGCUUAUGGGGUUGUAGGGUUAUGGGGUAUGUGGGGGCGUUAUGGGGUCCUUCGGGGGUAAAUAGGGUCGUGGGGUUAUGGGGUUGUAGGGUUAUGGGGGGUUAUGGGGUUGUAGGGUUAUAGGGCUUAUGGGGUCCUUGGGGGGGGAAAUAGGGUUGUAGGGUUAUGGGGUUGUAGGGUUAUGGGGUGGGAUAUGGGGGAUAUGGGG